CCUCGACACGACUGCUUAUUCAUGUUUUAAGGCCAUUAAAGUACAGUUACUGCAGAUGAUAGCUCAGUUACAGUCUCUGUCACUCUACAGAACGUAUUUCAGCACAUCAAUAACGUUAACAACAAACGACACGCUGUGAAGUCAAGCAUCAAGAAUGUCACUCUGGUCACCUAAUUAAUUUAGAACACUUUAUAGUGUGAUUUCUGGACCAACACAAGAUCCAUUUCCCCAUUCUCUGUUGAUUCUGUCACUGCUGAUACACAAAUCAUCCACCAGUGGGCACAACAUUGACACAUUGAUCAGGCUUUCAUCAUUAAAUCUUUAUUCAAAUGUGAUGUUUGUCUGUAGAUUGAUGUGUAGACGAUGUGAUGACCAGUCCUGAGCUUCACAUCCUCCUCAUCUGAGACACAGAGAAAGAGUCAGUCAAACCUGUUACUGGAAGAGAAAAACAAGUCAAACAGUGUUGUGUUUUCAAAACGAUUAACAAGUUAAACAUGUCUAAUAUAAUAUGAUACAGGGUCAGUAUGAAAAGGGUGUGUGUAUGGUUGCCAAAAUAAAUGUAUAGAUUUAUAUUUAUGUAGUUUGAUUUCUUAUGUUGGAGAAAAUAUCAGGGGUCACUAACUUUAUCAGUUCUUUCAGUUCUUUUAUUCCCUUUUGUCUUUUAGCUGAACUGUACCAUAAACAUGUCCUAUAGUGCGACAAAGUAAAAAAUAAGAAAAACAACUCUUAAUAACAUGAUUUAUCUUAAUUGUUGGAAUCGUAUCUUUAAUUAGUGCUAAUACUAUUUUUUUUCUCCAUGACCAAACUUGUUGGACGUUUUAAAAAUAUAUACAGUACUAUGAUUGAGACGGUCACACCAUAGGAAAGUUUUGACAUUUGGCUCAAAAAUGGAAAACUUAUAACAACAUAGCAGUUAUUAUACACAAAGGACAUCACCAUUUACUGCAUUUUAAAUGAUGACAAUACUAAUUAUAUUCAUGUCAUGUGUGACUGUAAAAUGCAACGUUAUGUAACGUCAUAUUAAACUCAUUUCUUUAUUAUUUGUUAUGAUGACAGUGCAUCAUAUUUUAUGAGUUAUUUAUUUUGCAAGAUAUUAGUAUUCUGCUUAAAGUGUCGUCUGAAGGUGUAAGGACUUCAUCCAGAAGAAAAAAUAAAUAAAUAACAGGAAAUGCUAUACUAG